GUGCAUCACUUGUGCUUGGCUUAUUUGGCAUCAGUUCCUUAAUUACCAAGUGGGAAUAAAUAAUAAAUAAUAAUAAAGAAUAAAAACUGAGGCACCACUUAGAAUGUGUUGUCCCAGGAUGAAAAGCUUCUCCCUGAUUCUCUUUUCAUGUGUCCCUAUUCCUGCUAAACCCCAGCAGACAGAAUAAUUCAGCAUGUGGUGUAUCAAUGACCUGUCCUAAUUAUCAUUUACCUCCUCACAGUUUAAUUAAGCUGUUAAUUAAUGUGGCUUUCACUUUUCCCACAUUUCAUGGUCACAGCAGCUUCAUCUGUAAUGGGAUUUACCCCUCUGUAACUAUUUCCAAAAGAAUUCCCUGAGGUGAUUCAAGAAGCCACUUGAAAUAAUUCCAUGAAGAGAAUGGGAUAGCUGUAACAUUUAUUUCUUCCUGUUUGCCAGGCCAAAAGGAGCUGGGAAAAGAAAGGAAGAAUGCAAACAGGUAUUCAGGAGUGUUGCUUUUCAUGUCAGGAUAUUCUCUGCCACUAGCCCACCAGGACAGCUGGUGACAUGACUUCACUGGGGAUGUUCCAGAGCCAUCUGGACACAUUCCUGUGCUCUGAGAUGACCCACUGUGGUCCAUUUCAGCCUGAACCAUCCUGGGAUUCUGUGAAACUGAAGCCAGCCAAGGACUGGAGGAGAGCUACCAUUCCUUUGAAAUUCCAUCAUCUUAGUCCUGGCUUGGGGGAUUGCUGGACUGCAACAGGUAAGGGUGACCAGAGCUACCUGCAAAGCUGCUGUGGGAUAAUGGCUUUUAUUUGAGCUGGAAACUGUUGGAUCUGUUCCCAGCAGCAGCCAUAGGGAUGGCCUGGAGGAAGCAGCUGAAAGCAAACAAACAUUGGGUUUUUACUGUUUCUGAGAACUGUCUGGGUCACCUCCUUAUCUGUGAUUUGUAUUUCUCAGUAAUAGGCUGCUCAGCUCUCGGGAUGAGAGGACUCACCGCCUUGGAAUUACAGCUGGGAAAUGCUUUUGGAAAAACAGAAGAUGUGCUGGAGGAAGAUAGUGUUGUCUCUCUGGCCUGGCAGGUCACAGCUGGAAUUAACCAUGAGGUAUUUAACACUGAAGUGGAAGGAAAGGAUGAAACACUAGGGAGAGGAACUGCUUGGAAACUGUGAUUUUGGGGUUGGGAGUUGCAGUAUUUCCACCCCGCAAGCAGAAGACCCCUGGCCAAGGAAAUGCCCACACUUCUGUCCCAGUUAUCCUAAGAUCCUCUGCUGCAGGCUCAGCUGCUCCAAGUUUAUCUGCAUCGCUGCUCAAGCACUUGGAUACAGUCCUAAUUAAUUUUCCUUGAACUCCUGGCCUUGCAACGUCAACACUGGCUGUGUAGGGCAUUGCUGGAAAACCCAGGAAAGAUCUGGGCAGGUACAUCUGGGCAUCUGUAGACUUCUAGACUGGCUUCUUUCACUGAUGUAAUAAAUUUAAUACUGGCUAAUAAAAUUUGUCA
rnacentral:lncRNA from 1 species